rnacentral:rRNA from 1 species
GCCAGCAGCCGCGGAACACCGGCGGCCCGAGUGGUGAUCGUGAUUAUUGGGUCUAAAGGGUCCGUAGCCGGUUUGGUCAGUCCUCCGGGAAAUCUGAUAGCUCAACUAUUAGGCUUUCGGGGGAUACUGCCAGACUUGGAACCGGGAGAGGUAAGAGGUACUACAGGGGUAGGAGUGAAAUCUUGUAAUCCCUGUGGGACCACCUGUGGCGAAGGCGUCUUACCAGAACGGGUUCGACGGUGAGGGACGAAAGCUGGGGGCACGAACCGGAUUAGAUACCCGGGUAGUCCCAGCCGUAAACGAUGCUCGCUAGGUGUCAGGCAUGGCGCGACCGUGUCUGGUGCCGCAGGGAAGCCGUGAAGCGAGCCACCUGGGAAGUACGGCCGCAAGGCUGAAACUUAAAGGAAUUGGCGGGGGAGCACAACAACGGGUGGAAGCCUGCGGUUUAAUUGGACUCAACGCCGGACAACUCACCGGGGGCGACAGCAAUAUGUAGGCCAAGCUGAAGACUUUGCCUGAAUCGCUGAGGGGUGGUGCAUGG